UUUUGCAUUUAGAUGAUUUUCGAUUCUAGCACUUCAAUGGCUUACACAGGCGACUGAACACUUAAAUGGGUUCUCGGAACCAAUCACCUGUCAGCAANCAGGGUUUUAGGUAUUAAAUAACACCACCCAGCAUUGAAUAGGGUUCCAGAAGAACAAUCAAUUGGCUUUCCUGUGGAAUGAANCUGAAUCUAUUAACGAACAUCAGUCAGUUUUAGCUGAAUUGAGUUAUAAGGACAAAACAAUUUUUGAUGACACUCGAAUGGUAUCUUAAACCGAAUUAACCCGGCACAGAUGACACGAGUUGGUAGCUAGUCGAUUGCCCACAGUACAUCGUGAAAGGGAAAAGACGCAACUAUACUGAAUCUUGAAACUCGGACCAACAGCGUUCAUAUUCAGAGCAGUUCUACUGCAACUCGUCCACANCAUCAAACCUCAAUACACCCUGUAACUCCUUCUACGACUUCAAAACUAAGCUAAAAAAGUUAUUCGGGAUCAAGAUUAUAACCUAC
rnacentral:misc_RNA from 1 species